rnacentral:rRNA from 1 species
CAGCCGCCGCGGGAAUACGAAGGGUGCAAGCGUUACUCGGAAUUACUGGGCGUAAAGCGUGCGUAGGUGGUGGUUUAAGUCCGUUGUGAAAGCCCUGGGCUCAACCUGGGAAUUGCAGUGGAUACUGGGUCACUAGAGUGUGGUAGAGGAUAGUGGAAUUUCCGGUGUAGCAGUAAAAUGCGUAGAGAUCGGAAGGAACAUCUGUGGCGAAGGCGACUAUCUGGGCCAACACUGACACUGAGGCACGAAAGCGUGGGGAGCAAACAGGAUUAGAUACCCCAGUAGUCCCUGUCUCUUAUAA